rnacentral:rRNA from 1 species
UACGGGGGGGGCAAGCGUUGUUCGGAUUGACUGGGCGUAAAGAGCGUGUAGGCGGCCAGGUAGGUCUGCUGUGAAAACUCGAGGCUCAACCUCGAGACGUCGGCGGAAACCAUCUGGCUAGAGUCCGGAAGAGGAGAGUGGAAUUCCUGGUGUAGCGGUGAAAUGCGUAGAUAUCAGGAGGAACACCGGUGGUGUAAACGGCUUUCUGGACCGUAACUGACGCUGAGGCACGAAAGCGUGGGUAGCAAACAGG